AGAGUUUGAUCCUGGCUCAGAUUGAACGCUGGCGGCAUGCUUUACACAUGCAAGUCGAACGGCAGCACGGGUGCUUGCACCUGGUGGCGAGUGGCGGACGGGUGAGUAAUACAUCGGAACGUGUCCUGAAGUGGGGGAUAACGCAUCGAAAGAUGUGCUAAUACCGCAUAUACUCUGAGGAGUAAAGUAGGGGAUCGAAAGACCUUAUGCUUUUGGAGCGGCCGAUGUCUGAUUAGCUAGUUGGUGGGGUAAUUGCCUACCAAGGCGACGAUCAGUAGUUGGUCUGAGAGGACGACCAGCCACACUGGGACUGAGACACGGCCCAGACUCCUACGGGAGGCAGCAGUGGGGAAUUUUGGACAAUGGGCGCAAGCCUGAUCCAGCAAUGCCGCGUGAGUGAAGAAGGCCUUCGGGUUGUAAAGCUCUUUCAGUUGAGAAGAAAAGACUGUAACUAAUAAUUACAGUUCAUGACGGUAUCAACAGAAGAAGCACCGGCUAACUACGUGCCAGCAGCCGCGGUAAU
rnacentral:rRNA from 1 species